CCUAUCAACUUUCGAUGGCCUACCAUGCUGACCACGGGUAACGGGGAGUCAGGGUUCGAUUCUG